rnacentral:rRNA from 1 species
CCUGGCCUUGACAUACUAAGAACUUUCCAGAGAUGGAUUGGUGCCUUCGGGAACUUAGAUACAGGUGCUGCAUGGCUGUCGUCAGCUCGUGUCGUGAGAGUGUUGGGUUAACGUCCGCAACGAGCGCAACCCUUUUCCUUAUUUGCCAGCGGGUAAUGCCGGGAACUUUAAGGAUACUGCCAGUGACAAACUGGAGGAAGGCGGGGACGACGUCAAGUCAUCAUGGCCCUUACGGCCAGGGCUACACACGUGCUACAAUGGUCGGUACAAAGGGUUGCUACCUCGCGAGAGGAUGCUAAUCUCAAAAAGCCGAUCGUAGUCCGGAUCGCAGUCUGCAACUCGACUGCGUGAAGUCGGAAUCGCUAGUAAUCGCGGAUCAGAAUGCCGCGGUGAAUACGUUCCCGGGCCUUGUACACACCGCCCGUCACACCAUGGGAGUUUGUUGCACCAGAAGUAGGUAGUCUAACCGCAAGGAGGACGCUUACCACGGUGUGGCCGAUGACUGGGGUGAAGUCGUAACAAGGUAAGCGUAGAUGA